GUUGCAUUAAAAAUGCAAGUUGACAAUGAAAGAGGUUGAUAUUCCAAAUAAAUUAGAAAAUUCCUAAUGACUUCAUUAAACUUUACAUACACAGUUGCCCCACGGUGAUGCCUCUGCGUUAUACAAUAUACACAGUUCCAGAAAUAGCUUUUGAUUGGCAUUUCUAAAUCAUUUAGCUAACAGUCAAUGCAGCAACUUUCCCCAACGCUCGAGAAGUAAAGUCGCUGCUGGCAGACUACCAGCGCUGCUCUACGGAUUGUCACGUAGGAAGCGGCAAUCUCCACCUCGAAGAAUUAAUCCAAUUUGACUGUCUCGCCUACGCUGUUUAGCAAACAUGCCCGCAAACAAAAACUGGAUAUGCAUGUUGGUUUUGAUUUUGCGAAUUCAUGUGAAAAAUGCCCUGACUAUGUCAAAAGAGGAUGGAGACACCUUCACGGACUGUUGACUACGCCUCGGCAAAACUUUAUAACAGUCCGAAAGACAGAGGGAAAAAAAAGAAAGAAAGAAACCAUUGCGGGUACCUUAAUAAGCAUCACAUCUGCGAGGUCAUUGGGAUAUUUCAAACAACUUUCCACUCUCAUUAGUUUGGCAUUUUUCCCUGCAAGUCCUUAUCUUUUGUAAUUUUUGUAGUGAAACAGCUCUGAGAAAAUUCCCUGAACCAAUAACAUUCCAUGACUUUGGGUCAGUUUGACAUAAUGAGUCUUCAGUGUAUAUGUCCUUUGCUCUUGUAUCCAACAUAUGUUUCCGUUAACCUCUCAUGAGCUGGAACAUCAUCUUCUAUCUGUCUAAAACUGCAUAUCUCAUUAUUUCUAAUUAGGGUCUAAAAGCUGUUACUUUUAUUCAGAAAUCUAGCAUUCCCAGGGCACUGAAUAACUGCAUCUUGCCUCAAAGAUUUUUCCGUCUUCUUUCUCUUCCUUUAUCUUUCAUAACACUGCAUGGAAGUACAUUUCACUACUCAAACUCAAAAAAAUAUAUAUGGUUCUAAAGUCUGUUGAUGACUUAUUUUGGCAUUUCAUUCAAAUUAAUACAUUAUGUAUUAUUUAAAUGUAAUUCUUUUCGGAAUAUAUUUUCAUGCAAUCAAAAUAAACAGUGCUUAUGGUCUUAGAAUGAGCUAAAG